ensembl:lncRNA
GUGACCACCAGCGAGUGACCGAGUGACAGUGACCGAGUGACCAUCAGUGACCAAGUGACCAUUGCUGACCAUCACUGACCAUCACCGAGUGACCGAGUGACCGUCACCAAGUGACCAUCAGCAAGUGACCAUCACUGACCAUCACCAACUGUCACCGAGUGACCGAGUGACCAUCGCUGUCACUGAGUGACCGUCACCGAGUGACCAUCACUGAGUGACCGUCACUGACCAUCACCGUGUGACCAUCACUGAGUGACCAUCACUGACUAUCACUGAGUGACCGUCACCGAGUGACCGUCACUGAGUGACCGUCACUGACCGUCACCCCGUGCCCGUCACCGCGCAGUCGCUCAUUAAAGGUUGCCAGGCAGCCGUUGCCAGGCGUUUCCCGGUUGCCAGGCAACGGUUGCCAGGCGCCGACUGUUGUCCAGUUGUUCCCAGGGGAAUUCCCGGGGCGGGGGGAGGGGCCGUUCCAGGGUUUUCCCAAGGAAUUGUCCCGGGAUUUUCCCAGGGGCUGUUCCGGGGGGGUUCGUUGUCCCCAGGAUUGUCACUGUCACCCCCGGGAUUGUCACUGUCACCCCCAGGAUUGUCACCGUCACUUCUGGGGGUGUCACCGUCACCCCCAGGGGUGUCACUGUCACCUCUGGGAUUGUCACCAUCACCCUCGGGGGUGUCACUAUCCCUGUCUCUGUCCCUGUCACCCCCAGGAUUGUCCCUGUCACCCGCAGGGGUGUCACCGUCACUCCCGGGGGUGUCCCUGUCCCCGUCCCUGUCCCCCCCGUGCCCGUGCCCCUCAGUACGGGGAGAAGAGCAGGGGGGCG